ACUUUGAACAACCAUAGCAGCAUAGCUUAGCUUAUUGAAAACCUACCAAAAACUCAAAUUAGAGAAACAGGAAAAAUGUCAAUUUGCCCAGGAAAGCAAGCGUGGCCUGAACUCAUAGGAGAGGAUGGAAAAAAAGCAGCAGAAAUAAUAGAGAAGGAAAAUUCAAGUGUGGAAGCUAUUGUACUACCAAAAGAUUCUGAUAUUCCAUUUGAUCUGAGAUGUGAUCGUGUUUUUGUUUUUGUUGAUUCUAAAAACAUAGUUGUUGAAGCUCCAUCUGUUGGUUAAACUCUUCUUGCAAUUUGUGCAACUGAAUUAGGUAGAUGUGCACUUUAAGAGAGCUAGUAUUAGUACUAAAUAAAUGUGCACAUUGUUGGUAAUGUAGUAGCUAAUCUGUUACAACUGCCUAUGAACUAGUAAACUAGUGAUAUUAAUGAUAA